rnacentral:rRNA from 1 species
CGCGUAGGCGGCCCGGUAAGUAGGAGGUGAAAUCCUGCGGCUCAACCGCAGGGCUGCCUUCUAAACUGCCAGGCUUGAGCACAGUAGAGGCAGGUGGAAUUCCCGGUGUAGCGGUGGAAUGCGUAGAGAUCGGGAAGAGCAUCGGUGGCGAAGGCGGCCUGCUGGGCUGUUGCUGACGCUGAGGCGCGACAGCGUGGGGAGCAAACA